CUAUACAUGCAAGUCGAGCGGACAGAUGGGAGCUUGCUCCCUGAUGUUAGCGGCGGACGGGUGAGUAACACGUGGGUAACCUGCCUGUAAGACUGGGAUAACUCCGGGAAACCGGGGCUAAUACCGGAUGGUUGUUUGAACCGCAUGGUUCAGACAUAAAAGGUGGCUUCGGCUACCACUUACAGAUGGACCCGCGGCGCAUUAGCUAGUUGGUGAGGUAACGGCUCACCAAGGCAACGAUGCGUAGCCGACCUGAGAGGGUGAUCGGCCACACUGGGACUGAGACACGGCCCAGACUCCUACGGGAGGCAGCAGUAGGGAAUCUUCCGCAAUGGACGAAAGUCUGACGGAGCAACGCCGCGUGAGUGAUGAAGGUUUUCGGAUCGUAAAGCUCUGUUGUUAGGGAAGAACAAGUGCCGUUCAAAUAGGGCGGCACCUUGACGGUACCUAACCAGAAAGCCACGGCUAACUACGUGCCAGCAGCCGCGGUAAUACGUAGGUGGCAAGCGUUGUCCGGAAUUAUUGGGCGUAAAGGGCUCGCAGGCGGUUUCUUAAGUCUGAUGUGAAAGCCCCCGGCUCAACCGGGGAGGGUCAUUGGAAACUGGGGAACUUGAGUGCAGAAGAGGAGAGUGGAAUUCCACGUGUAGCGGUGAAAUGCGUAGAGAUGUGGAGGAACACCAGUGGCGAA
rnacentral:rRNA from 1 species